rnacentral:tRNA from 1 species
GAGGGUACAGCUCAGUGGUAGAGCGUAUGCUUAGCAUGCACGAGGUCCUGGGUUCAAUCCCCAGUAUCUCCA